rnacentral:lncRNA from 1 species
AUGGGCUCAAUUAUUUUUCAAAGGAAGAGAAGAAUUAUUUUUGGAAAAUUGAAUUACAAAGGAAGAUAUGAAUGACAUGAACAUAAAAAUAGAGAAUGUAUAAAAACUACACAAACACGGAUGUAUAUAUAGAAAACUAUCUCCAUAAGUCUUGUUGUGUAUGUGCUGUCCGUGAUGAGAAGGCAUGUCCGUGAAUCUUGUUGUGUCUUGUGGUU